rfam:Schistosoma haematobium scaffold411_15, whole genome shotgun sequence.
AUGUAACUGACGAGUCCCAAAUAGGAUGAAACAUGUGUCAAACUGGAU